CACAAACAAUGGAUAAGAACUAUGAACAAGAAGAUUCCGUAGGAUUCAACCUAUCAGAGAGGACCUUGAAGUUCUGCUUUAUGAGCCUGCAGGCAAAGAGUGAUCAUUUGCCUCUCAAGCAGCCUCUGGUCAUCUAUCUGCCUUUGAGCCAUCAAGAUGCCGAUGUCUUCUCUUCCAGCAGCUAUUUUGUCUCACAUGACAGCUAUUAACAAUGUGCCUCCUCCUCCACUUCACAGUAUACCAAACUUGAAAAAGUCUAAGCACAUUAAUUAUGGCCAGUUGAAUGCAUUAUGCCACAUUAGAGGACAACACAGAGAGAGAGAAGAAGGCAUGCAACUUUGAUAUUGCUUGGAUUUCUGUCAAGAGGGAUCAUUUUCCCCUGUGCAUUGCUGCCUCCUCCUUGCACCCAGUGCCUUUCGACAUGGAGUAAAGAAUGAAGUCCACACACUCCCGAGACCUAUUGCCUGAUGUGAAUCCUGUCUCAGCCACUUACCCUCUGUGUGACUUUAGACUGCUUACUACAUUUCUCUGCCUUGGUUUUUUCAUUGGUAAAAUGGAGAUAACAGUACUCACUUUAAAGGGUUACUAGGAUGAUUAAAUGAGCCUAAUAUAUGUAAAUAGCGUCUGGCACAUAGUAAGGGUUCCAGAAGUGUUAGUUAUUUUUAUUAUUUUUGUUAUGCAAAAAAGCUCAUCCAAUAUUUUAAGUGUCUUGAAAAAUUUUAACAUCCAAGCUUUGAAUCUAUCUUAUAUGUUGGUCCCUUUUCUAAUGCAUGAGAUGCUAAUCAAGGCUUUGAAUGUCCUUUUUGCUUUCAUUUUCGUUUUGCUUUCUGGCCCAGACGCAUUUCAUUUUUCAAAAUACUUCUAGUUUUUUUUUCUCUUUGGGGGGUCAUAAUAAGAGAGCUUGAAUCAUCUAGAGCUAGUUCUCUCAAAGUAUCCCCUCUAAAUAAAUGUGAUCAGCCUUACUCUUCCUGGAUUGAAUCAUUCCUCUUGGGUGGUGUCGUCUUGUGAGACAAUUAUCUCAUUCAGGUCCAAUCUGGCUGUACUGCCUGACUCCCUCUAGUAAGUCUUAUGUUUACUAUGUCUUUUGUUAGAAACCCAAAUCCUGAAAUUGUUGGAUGUGUUCUUUUGGAGCACUGGUACACACCAGGGGCCUGGGGGAACAGGUUUUAAGGUAUGUGUAUAUAGGUUUUGCAUCAUUCUGUUAGAAAUACAAUAUAUAGUUACAAAUACAAAAUCAGAUAGGAAGAUAAAUAUUUAUUUGGAAUGAGGAUAAAAUUACAACAAAUUAAUAAAAGCUUGGAAGUUCAGGUCCCUUUUCUCACUUGACAUUUCUUUAGACAAUUUACCAGAAAUACAUUCACAGGAAUUAUUUAAAAACUUCAGAAUUCAAGUGAUGUCAACAAAUUGAGAGGCAAUUUAGGAAAAAUGUAUUUCUCCAUAUUAUUAGUUCUUUAUGUAUUAUAGAUGAAAAGUGACCAAUAAAUUACACUUUUCCCCUAUAAUAAAAAUAGAAAGGCUGAGAAUUAAAUGAUUCAAGGUUUUAAAUUUUUGUACAUAGAACUCACAAAGGGCAUUAGUUUUGAUUCUAAAAAGUUUCUUCUGUUAGAAUAAAGGCAGUAGGUUGGUAUAUUAUCCUGGGAUUUUUUAUUGAAGAUAAAAUAAAAAAUUAAUAACAAAGGGGGGAUGAUAUCACUUUGGAUUUCUAAAUUUUUGAGUGCAAAUUUUUCAUCCUAGUAGACUACAAGCUCCAUGAAGGCAGAUUUAUUUUAUUUAUUUUAGUGCUUCCUACUCCUUGACAUUUGGCAUAGAGUUCAAUGUUUUGCACUGGAUUUUAUUUUGAUGUUCAGUAG
rnacentral:lncRNA from 1 species